GUGGGGAAUAUUGGACAAUGGGCGCAAGCCUGAUCCAGCCAUGCCGCGUGAGUGAUGAAGGUCUUAGGAUUGUAAAGCUCUUUCACCGGUGAAGAUAAUGACGGUAACCGGAGAAGAAGCCCCGGCUAACUUCGUGCCAGCAGCCGCGGUAAUACGAAGGGGGCUAGCGUUGUUCGGAAUUACUGGGCGUAAAGCGCACGUAGGCGGAUAUUUAAGUCAGGGGUGAAAUCCCAGAGCUCAACUCUGGAACUGCCUUUGAUACUGGGUAUCUUGAGUAUGGAAGAGGUGAGUGGAAUUCCGAGUGUAGAGGUGAAAUUCGUAGAUAUUCGGAGGAACACCAGUGGCGAAGGCGGCUCACUGGUCCAUUACUGACGCUGAGGUGCGAAAGCGUGGGGAGCAAACAGGAUUAGAUACCCCAGUAGUCC
rnacentral:rRNA from 1 species